AAGUCGUAACAAGGUUUCCGUAGGUGAACCUGCGGAAGGAUCAUUAUUGAAGUAGCUGGGAGGUUGUUGCUGGCUCUCCGGAGCACUGUGCACACCUUUCACAACUUUAUUUCAUUCACCUGUGCACCUUUUGUAGUCUCGAGUGACUUUCGACAUUAAAUUGUCGGCUGGAUGAUCGCUCUCCUCUUGUGGGGGGGGCUUUUGUUCGAUAGCUCGAGUCUAUGUCUCUACACAAACUACUUUAUUAAUCUCAGAAUGUCAACGGUCUGCCUCGCAAGGGGCCGACUUUAAACUUUAAAUACAACUUUCAACAACGGAUCUCUUGGCUCUC
rnacentral:misc_RNA from 1 species